rnacentral:rRNA from 1 species
GCGGAGGAAAAGAAACCAAACCGGAUGCCCCCAGUAGCGGCGAGCGAACAGGGCGGAACCCAGACAUGGAAACGCGAUGUGCGUCGCGUGUUGUCGUGUGUCGACUACCCAUGGCGCUUCCGACGCCCUCCGACGAAAUGGCCAUGGAGCUGGCUGCCACAGGUGGGUGAGAGACCCGAUCGGAGGGCGUUCGAUGCGUCGUCGGGGACGUCGUCGGAGUCGAACUGUUUGAGAUCGCAGUUCAAAAGGGUGGUGAGCGCCAUCCAAGGUUAAAUAUCAGCGGGAAUCCGAUAGCGAAGAAGUACCGUGAGGGAAAGCUGAAAAGGACUUUGGAAAGAGAGUGAAAAGUACCCGAAACCGCGCAUGCGGAACCGCUUUCGACGACGUCUCGGACGUGCGUCCGUCCGCCGACGGGCGGUUCGUCGCGGGGAGUUUCCUCGCGUCGUCCGCCCGCGUCCCUCGGACCUUUCGUCGCAAG